UUUAUGGAGAGUUUGAUCCUGGCUCAGGAUGAACGCUGGCGGCGUGCCUAAUACAUGCAAGUCGAGCGAACGGACGAGAAGCUUGCUUCUCUGAUGUUAGCGGCGGACGGGUGAGUAACACGUGGAUAACCUACCUAUAAGACUGGGAUAACUUCGGGAAACCGGAGCUAAUACCGGAUAAUAUUUUGAACCGCAUGGUUCAAAAGUGAAAGACGGUCUUGCUGUCACUUAUAGAUGGAUCCGCGCUGCAUUAGCUAGUUGGUAAGGUAACGGCUUACCAAGGCAACGAUGCAUAGCCGACCUGAGAGGGUGAUCGGCCACACUGGAACUGAGACACGGUCCAGACUCCUACGGGAGGCAGCAGUAGGGAAUCUUCCGCAAUGGGCGAAAGCCUGACGGAGCAACGCCGCGUGAGUGAUGAAGGUCUUCGGAUCGUAAAACUCUGUUAUUAGGGAAGAACAUAUGUGUAAGUAACUGUGCACAUCUUGACGGUACCUAAUCAGAAAGCCACGGCUAACUACGUGCCAGCAGCCGCGGUAAUACGUAGGUGGCAAGCGUUAUCCGGAAUUAUUGGGCGUAAAGCGCGCGUAGGCGGUUUUUUAAGUCUGAUGUGAAAGCCCACGGCUCAACCGUGGAGGGUCAUUGGAAACUGGAAAACUUGAGUGCAGAAGAGGAAAGUGGAAUUCCAUGUGUAGCGGUGAAAUGCGCAGAGAUAUGGAGGAACACCAGUGGCGAAGGCGACUUUCUGGUCUGUAACUGACGCUGAUGUGCGAAAGCGUGGGGAUCAAACAGGAUUAGAUACCCUGGUAGUCCACGCCGUAAACGAUGAGUGCUAAGUGUUAGGGGGUUUCCGCCCCUUAGUGCUGCAGCUAACGCAUUAAGCACUCCGCCUGGGGAGUACGACCGCAAGGUUGAAACUCAAAGGAAUUGACGGGGACCCGCACAAGCGGUGGAGCAUGUGGUUUAAUUCGAAGCAACGCGAAGAACCUUACCAAAUCUUGACAUCCUUU
rnacentral:rRNA from 1 species